UACGUAGGGUGCAAGCGUUGUCCGGAAUUAUUGGGCGUAAAGAGCUCGUAGGCGGUUCGUCGCGUCGGCUGUGAAAACCCGAGGCUCAACCUCGGGCCUGCAGUGGGUACGGGCAGACCAGAGUGCGGUAGGGGAGACUGGAAUUCCUGGUGUAGCGGUGAAAUGCGCAGAUAUCAGGAGGAACACCGGUGGCGAAGGCGGGUCUCUGGGCCGAUACUGACGCUGAGGAGCGAAAGCGUGGGGAGCGAACAGG
rnacentral:rRNA from 1 species